GGCUAAAACUCAGUGGUUGAGCAUCUGCUUUGCGUGCAGAAGGUUCCCAGGUUCAAUCCCUGGCAUCUCCA
rnacentral:tRNA from 1 species